rnacentral:rRNA from 1 species
GUCACGCUGUAACGAUGUCGAUUUGGAGGUUGUUCCCUUGAGGAGUGGCUUCGGAGCUAACGCGUUAAAUCGACCGCCUGGGGAGUACGGCCGCAAGGUUAAAACUCAAAUGAAUUGACGGGGGCCCGCACAAGCGGUGGAGCAUGUGGUUUAAUUCGAUGCAACGCGAAGAGCCUUACCUACUCUUGACAUCCAGAGAAUUUAGCAGAGAUGCUUUAGUGCCUUCGGGAACUCUGAGACAGGUGCUGCAUGGCUGUCGUCAGCUCGUGUUGUGAAAUGUUGGGUUAAGUCCCGCAACGAGCGCAACCCUUAUCCUUUGUUGCCAGCACAUUAUGGUGGGAACUCAAAGGAGACUGCCGGUGAUAAACCGGAGGAAGGUGGGGAUGACGUCAAGUCAUCAUGGCCCUUACGAGUAGGGCUACACACGUGCUACAAUGGCGUAUACAAAGAGAAGCGACCUCGCGAGAGCAAGCGGAACUCAUAAAGUACGUCGUAGUCCGGAUUGGAGUCUGCAACUCGACUCCAUGAAGUCGGAAUCGCUAGUAAUCGUAGAUCAGAAUGCUACGGUGAAUACGUUCCCGGGCCUUGUACACACCGCCCGUCACACCAUGGGAGUGGGUUGCAAAAGAAGUAGGUAGCUUAACCUUCGGGAGGGCGCUUACCACUUUGUGAUUCAUGACUGGGGUGAAGUCGUAACAAGGUAACCA